UACGGGGGGGGCAAGCGUUGUUCGGAAUUACUGGGCGUAAAGCGCGUGUAGGCGGCCCGGUAAGUCCGCUGUAAAAGUCAAAGGCUCAACCUUUGAAUGUCAGUGGAUACUGCCGGGCUAGAGUCCGGAAGAGGCGAGUGGAACUCCUGGUGUAGCGGUGGAAUGCGCAGAUAUCAGGAAGAACACCAACGGCGAAGGCAGCUCGCUGGGACGGUACUGACGCUGAGACGCGAAAGCGUGGGGAGCGAACAGG
rnacentral:rRNA from 1 species